rnacentral:rRNA from 1 species
UGAGGAAUAUUGGUCAAUGGGCGCAAGCCUGAACCAGCCAUCCCGCGUGAAGGAAGAAUGCGCUACGCGUUGUAAACUCCUUUUCCAGGGGGAGAAUUUUCCUGUCGAGACAGGGAUUGACGGUACCCUGGUAAUAAGCAUCGGCUAACUCCGUGCCAGCAGCCGCGGUAAUACGGAGGAUUCGAGCGUUAUCCGGAUUUAUUGGGUUUAAAGGGUGCGUAGGCGGAUUGAUAAGUCAGUGGUGAAAGUCUGCAGCUUAACUGUAGACUGGUCGUUGAUACUGUUAGUCGUGAGUGUGGUGAAGGCAGGCGGAAUGUGUAAUGUAGCGGUGAAAUGCUUAGAUAUUACACAGAACACCGAUUGCGAAGGCAGCUUGCUGGGUAAUUACUGACGCUGAUGCACGAAAG